CUACGAAGGGGGCUAGGCGUUGACUCGGAAUCACUGGGUCGUGAAAGGGUGCGAUAGGCGGGUCUUUAAGUCGAGGGGUGAAAUCCUGGGAGCUCAAACUCCCAGGCAAACCGUGCCUUUGAUUAACUGAAGAAUCGUUGAGUUCGGGAGAGGUGGAGGUGGAACUGCGAGUGUAGAGGUGAAAAUUCGUAGAUAUUCGCAAGAACGACCA
rnacentral:rRNA from 1 species